rnacentral:siRNA from 1 species
UUAGUUGAUUUGUCUCUUAA